rnacentral:rRNA from 1 species
GAUGAACGCUAGCUACAGGCCUAACACAUGCAAGUCGAGGGGAAACGAUAUUGGAAGCUUGCUUCCGAUAGGCGUCGACCGGCGCACGGGUGAGUAACGCGUAUCCAACCUGCCCAUCACUUGGGGAUAACUUUGCGAAAGUAAGACUAAUACCCAAUGAUAUCCCAAGAAGACAUCUGAAUGAGAUUAAAGAUUUCGCGGUGAUGGAUGGGGAUGCGUCCGAUUAGCUUGUUGGCGGGGUAACGGCCCACCAAGGCGACGAUCAGUAGGGGUUCUGAGAGGAAGGUCCCCCACAUUGGAACUGAGACACGGUCCAAACUCCUACGGGAGGCAGCAGUGAGGAAUAUUGGUCAAUGGGCGAGAGCCUGAACCAGCCAAGUAGCGUGCAGGAUGACGGCCCUAUGGGUUGUAAACUGCUUUUAUAAGGGAAUAAAGUGAGACUCGUGAGACUUUUUGCAUGUACCUUAUGAAUAAGGACCGGCUAAUUCCGUGCCAGCAGCCGCCGCCG